AACGUAGGACACAAGCGUUAUCCGGAGUUACUGGGCGUAAAGGGCGUGUAGGCGGACCUAUAAGUCUAUUCUGAAAGCUCCUGGCUAAACUGGGAGAGGCGAAUGGAGACUGUAGAUCUAGAGUGAGGAAGAGGAAAGUGGAAUUCCGCGUGUAGUGGUGAAAUGCGUAGAGAUGCGGAGGAACACCAGUGGCGAAAGCGACUUUCUGGUCCUUAACUGACG
rnacentral:rRNA from 1 species